UCAUCUGCCCUCAGUUUGGUCUCAAAGCCAGCUAUUCCUCUGAGGGCUUCCCCUUGUGGCAGGACCACCAGAAAAGGCGGGUUUCCCUUUGGAUCUUAAAGGUCUCGCAGAGGUGUGGAAGGCGUGGGCACGAGCCUAGGGCCCUGCUGGGAGCCCGUGCAAACCUUUAGGGGGUGGGUCCUACGUGGACGGGAGGUGGGCGGCAUCUCAGGACCCUGGCUCCUCCUCUUAACACUUUGUCCUCGGAACACCUGACCAGCUGCCUCCUCCUCUACCAAGUGAAAGCAACGGAGAUAAUCGACCAUGGAUGAAACUGCUGGUCUCUGACUUGUCAAGACUGGAAUACCUCACCUUGGCUCUCCAUUGUUCAUGCCUGUUGAAUAUGGACUAAGACAGCAUACACUAGGACUGCUCUGGCUUUCAGGAUAUUUUGUGCUUCCAACCAAAUUUUAGAAACUACACUGAAUCUGUAGAUGGCUUUUGGUUAUCUGGCUGGUCAAUUUUGCAAGGAGAGCUGAUCUUUCCUCAAGAGAUGAACAAAGUCCCAAAGAUUCUGUGAACCAUCUGCUCAAAGAGUAUGAGAAAUGCUACAACUGAGCAAGGGAAAAAAGCUGAGGAAUUUAAGCAUUUAAUGUGUAAAAUUCAUUUAAAAAAAACAUAGGGGAUAGGUUAAUAAAGUACUUGUUGCACAAGCAUGAGAACCUGGUUCAAUCCCCAGAACUCAUGGGUAUGAUAGGGCAGGCUUAUAAGCUCUACGACUAGGGAGGUGGAGAUAGGUUGAUUCCUGAGGCUAGCUGCUGGCCAGUCAGCCUAGCCAAACCAGCAAGCCCAAGAUCUCAGUAAGAAACCUAUCACAAAAACACAGUGGCCUGCAUCUGAAUGAGGUUGAUCUCUGGCCUCCACAUACAUACACCUGCAUUCAAACACAUAAUCCUGUACAUUCAUACAUAUACAUUCACAUCUACACACACACACACACACACACACACACACACACACACACACACACACACACACACAUCGAAAAAAAUAAACCCAAUACAUGGCCCACAACUUAAAAAUAUUGGGCAAACUUGUCGGUUGGUGGUGACAUACACCUUUAAUCCCAGCACUCAGGAGAAAGAGGCAAGCAGAUCUCUGAAUUCAAGGCCAGGCUGGUCUAUAGAGUGAGUUCCAGGAAAUAUAUAUUAGGUAAACUUAAAUCUAGAGAUCUUCUAUUUUAUCUUUUCCAGAAAAUAAGUUUAUUAUUUUCUGCUAAGAAUAGAGAGGGUUAGUUGGUCUACAUGUGUCUUUCUCAGGUUUACCUACUUGGUUAGUAUUCAGCUUUUUAUCAACUAUUAAGACAUUUAUGUGUUUGAUUUUGUCUGUUUUGUUUUUAUCAUUUGUGGGUUUGGUUAUUGGGGCAAAUAAAAUGAAAAUUAAAUUUAUAUAUUUAACUACCUCUAAUUAUAUGUCCUUUAGCCUAUUGUAUCUUCUUUUUUCUGGAUUUAAGUCCCUUGUAAAUCCUUCUACAGUCUAUAUAAAAAGUUGUCUAUAAUUAAAAAAUAAA